rnacentral:rRNA from 1 species
UGCCUUUUAAUUGGAGGCUGGUAUGAAUGGUUUGACGAGGGCUGAGCUGUCUCUCCUGGAAUAUUUAAAAAUUAACUUCUAAGUGAAAAGGCUUAGAUUUAACUGAGGGACGAGAAGACCCUGUUGAGCUUUAGUGUGGGAUAAAAGGUUUAUUUUUAUUGGAAUAGAGGAUUUUGAGUUUAUUCUUACAUCUUUAGUUGGGGUGACUAGGGAACAUGGAAAGCUUCUCUGUUGAUUUGUAGAAUUUUGGUUUACUAACGAGUGAUCCAGCAUUGCUGAUUAUCGGAAAAAGUUACCACAGGGAUAACAGCGUAAUCUUUCUGGAGAGUUCACAUUGAAAGAAGGGUUUGCGACCUCGAUGUUGGAUUAAGGUGUCCUGAAGGUGUAGCAGCUUUCGUUGGUGGUCUGUCGACCCUUAAAAC